rnacentral:rRNA from 2 species
GUCGAGCGAACUGAUUAGAAGCUUGCUUCUAUGACGUUAGCGGCGGACGGGUGAGUAACACGUGGGCAACCUGCCUGUAAGACUGGGAUAACUUCGGGAAACCGAAGCUAAUACCGGAUAGGAUCUUCUCCUUCAUGGGAGAUGAUUGAAAGAUGGUUUCGGCUAUCACUUACAGAUGGGCCCGCGGUGCAUUAGCUAGUUGGUGAGGUAACGGCUCACCAAGGCAACGAUGCAUAGCCGACCUGAGAGGGUGAUCGGCCACACUGGGACUGAGACACGGCCCAGACUCCUACGGGAGGCAGCAGUAGGGAAUCUUCCGCAAUGGACGAAAGUCUGACGGAGCAACGCCGCGUGAGUGAUGAAGGCUUUCGGGUCGUAAAACUCUGUUGUUAGGGAAGAACAAGUACAAGAGUAACUGCUUGUACCUUGACGGUACCUAACCAGA